rnacentral:rRNA from 1 species
UACGGAGAGUGCAAGCAUUAAUCGGAAUUAUUGGGCGUAAAGGGCGCGUAGGCGGCUUUGUAAGUCUUGUGUGAAAUUCCGGAGCUCAACUCCGGAACAGCACCAGAAACUGCAAGACUUGAGGUUUGGCGGAGAAAAUGGAAUUCCACGUGUAGCGGUGAAAUGCGUAGAUAUGUGGAAGAACACCGGUGGCGAAAGCGAUUUUCUAGCUUAUACCUGACGCUGAGGCGCGAGAGCAUGGGUAGCAAACAGG